CCAGCUCCAGCCCGCCGGCUCCUCCUCCUCCUCCUCCGCCGGGGUAGGCGCAGGCCUGGCACAGGGCCGCCAGACAGCUACCAUGCUGACCUGGAGAUAGAGUCAUGCUACCUCAUUACUGCUGCAUUAAAAGAAAUGGAAAAAACAGGAAAUGUGACACCAAAGGAUGAAUAUAUGAAGCGUGUGAUCGUUUCUUUCCUUGACGUCCAGCUUCUAGAAACCCACUGUGGACUUUGCAUCCAUGAAUUUACCCCAACCUUUUCUGGAAAAAAAUGGAAUCUUCCACCAGCACGACUUCCCGUGGAAAUAAAUCUCCUAUUUUUCCUUCUGUUUGGAUUCUUCUAUAUUUAACCUUCUUGACUAUAUUGACUCUCCUCCCAGGGUUGAGGGAUUUGGUGGAAAACAAUUUCAGGUUCACAUUCUUUCAUGAUUCUGUAAACUUCAAUAAUGUCCUCUCAGUCUUUAUCUCUCCCAGGCAUCUUAACUGAAAACUGUUCCAUUAUUAUGACAGUUGUCCCACUCUAAACCUUCUUCAGCUGUAUUACAUCCUUCCCACGAUGGACGGGCACAAAAUAUUUGAAGUACGGAUAUACCAUAAUUCUGUAGGAAGGCACUACUAUGCUUUUGUUGUAUUAAAAAUGACUACUGGGGUUUCAAGUAAAUCAGUGGCUAUAAAUUCCAAGGCAACCAUUAAGUGUUGAAAAAGAGGAAUCCUUUGCCUUACUACAGUAUGUUCAGGUUAUGUUUAGAUCUGCAUGCACAAAAUAGGGUUUUUUGUUGUUGGUUUUUUGUUUUUUGGUUUUUUUUUUAAAUGAAUCUGGCAUGGCCCUGAAUUUGCUAAUGUUUGAUUAACCUACCAGGGCUUUAGAUGAAUAAAGCUAAGAAUCAGUGG